CCUACGGGGGGCAGCAGUGGGGAAUAUUGCACAAUGGGGGAAACCCUGAUGCAGCGACGCCGCGUGAGUGAAGAAGUAAUUCGUUACGUAAAGCUCUAUCAGCAGGGAAGAAACACUGACCUUAUGGUCAGCAGACGGUACCUGAGUAAGAAGCCCCGGCAAACUACGGGCCAGCAGCCGCGGUAAUACGUAGGGGGCAAGCGUUAUCCGGAUUUACUGGGUGUAAAGGGAGCGUAGAUGGUGCGCCAAGUCUGGAGUGAAAUGCCGCAGCUUAACUGCGGAACUGCUUUGGAAACUGGCGAACUAGAGUGCGGGAGAGGUAAGCGGAAUUCCUAGUGUAGCGGUGAAAUGCGUAGAUAUUAGGAGGAACACCAGUGGCGAAGGCGACUUACUGGACCGUAACUGACGUUGAGGCUCGAAAGCGUGGGGAGCAAACAGGAUUAGAUACCCUUGUAGUC
rnacentral:rRNA from 1 species